rnacentral:rRNA from 1 species
UACGUAGGGUGCAAGCGUUAAUCGGAAUUACUGGGCGUAAAGCGUGCGCAGGCGGUUGUGCAAGACAGGUGUGAAAUCCCCCGGCUUAACCUGGGAACUGCGUCUGAUACUGGAGGGCUUGAGUGCGGGAGAGGGAUGUGGAAUUCCAGGUGUAGCGGUGAAAUGCGUAGAUAUCUGGAGGAACACCGGUGGCGAAGGCGGCAUCCUGGACCGACACUGACGCUGAGGCGCGAAAGCUAGGGUAGCAAACGGG